rnacentral:snRNA from 1 species
AUCGCUUCUUGGCCUUUUGGCUAAGAUUAAGUGUAGAGCAAUUCAACUUUCAUUUCACUAUUAUACAUAAAUAUAUUUAUGGUUAUAAAUACACAUAUCCAUUGAUGAAAUUUAUCACAGAGACCUCGGAGAUUAGAUUAUACUGCAAAGGGUCAUGGACUC